rnacentral:rRNA from 1 species
UGGGGAAUAUUGGACAAUGGGCGCAAGCCUGAUCCAGCCAUGCCGCGUGAGUGAUGAAGGCCUUAGGGUUGUAAAGCUCUUUCAGUAGGGAAGAUAAUGACGGUACCUACAGAAGAAGCCCCGGCUAACUUCGUGCCAGCAGCCGCGGUAAUACGAAGGGGGCUAGCGUUGUUCGGAUUUACUGGGCGUAAAGCGCACGUAGGCGGAUUGGUCAGUUAGGGGUGAAAUCCUGGAGCUCAACUCCAGAACUGCCCUUAAUACUGCCAGUCUAGAGUCCGGAAGAGGUAAGUGGAACUCCUAGUGUAGAGGUGGAAUUCGUAGAUAUUAGGAAGAACACCAGUGGCGAAGGCGGCUUACUGGUCCGGCACUGACGCUGAGGUGCGAAAGCGUGGGGAGCAAACA